rnacentral:lncRNA from 1 species
GAACAUUUGAGGUACGUUUUACAUUUGUUUUACCAUCAAUUAGGAAUCAUUUCUGCUCAGGUUCCCCUAACAUAAUUUAAUGGAACAUUGGAAUUGAAACAGCGAAGGAAUAUUUUGACCUACAUAGGUCUAAAACUCUUGCGAGUUUUCAGUACCUUUCGUUUGGGUAAAAAAAAUACAUUCGCUCUUAGAAAACUCCCCAGUCCCAUUCCCCAUUUAUUUGACCACCAAAAUGUGAAUAUCAAACCUUCUAAAGCUUCCAUACCCAGUCAUCAAUUAGAAGAUAUUCCCAAACCCACCGACAACUCAGUUCCCAGAGAUUUCAAACACAAAACGGUAUUAAUGUAUGAUAUUUGUGAAGCAUUUGGCCUGCCCAAGACACCUAGCAGAAGAUCAAUAAACCCAUUGGAAAGGCCAAUUGAAAACUCGUCAAAUGGAAAUUAUCAACGACAAUUGCAGUUCCUUGAAUGCACUUUGUAUACCGAUGCGUUUAUAUAUGCUACAACAAUUGAAGAGAGUGCACUGUGGAGCCGUUAUUUGACUUUCCCAACAUAUAAUAAUCAUAACUUGAAUUGAAAAUUACCACAACAAGACACCGACACCCAUCGACGACGAUGCAAACAGAGCCCAAACCCCCCC